rnacentral:lncRNA from 1 species
AAGAAAAACUCCUAUUGCUUAAUUUUUCCUACCUACUACAAGUUUUAAUUUUACAAACCCGCACGACACGUCUUUAAAUAAAGCAUCUUGCAGUUACAUACACACAAAAUUGAAUGAAAUGGAGGGAUCUCUCCUCUUUGUACCUCACUCGAUGGAUCUCAUCUUCUUUAAUGGAAGGAUCGUUCAUUGUGCAUAUACCACUUCACUUCAAGGUUUAUGAUAGUGACUUUUGACCUUUUUAAUCAUUGUCUCUAUACGUAAACUUCUCCAGAUCUUCUUCGAAAUCAUCGUAUACUUCUAUAAAUUAAUAUGUAAAAGUAGUCUACUUAAUUUAUGAAAUCUUUUAUCCUACCUACUUUAACUUAUAAGAACUAAAAAGUUCCAUCAACAUACAAAAUAAGUGAAAAAAAUUAUUGACUUAUAAUGUGCCUCUCUUUUCUUGAUAUUUUGCUCUGCAAAGAAUCUUUUAUUCUGCUAUAACAUGUAAAUAGUUAUUGGGAACUGUAAAGCGAUAAUGUGUAUAAUAAAAAGUAUAAGUGACUUCUUAACUUCGUUAAACUUAUACUGGAAUAUCUUAA